rnacentral:rRNA from 1 species
AUUGAACGCUGGCGGCAGGCCUAACACAUGCAAGUCGAGCGAGCGGCGGCCGGGUGAGUAAUGUAUGGGGACUGCCCGCUAGAGGGGGAUAACUACUGGAAACGGUAGCUACUACCGCAUACUAUCGGAUAACCCAUAUGGGAUUAGCUAGUAGGUGAGGAAAUGGCUCACCAAGGCGACGAUCCCUAGCUGGUCUGAGGGGAUGAUCAGCAAAACUGGAACUGAGACACGGCCCAGAUUCCUACGGAGGCAGCAGUGGGAAAUAUUGCACAAUGGGCGCAAGCCUGAUGCAGCCAUGCCGGGUGUAUGAAGAAGGCCCUAGGGUUGUAAAGUACUUUCAGUCGGGAGGCGUUACCGACAGAAGAAGCACCGGCUAACUCCGUGCCAGCAGCCGCGUAAUUC